rnacentral:rRNA from 1 species
AGCGAACGCUGGCGGCAGGCCUAACACAUGCAAGUCGAACGAAGUCUUCGGACUUAGUGGCGGACGGGUGAGUAACACUUGGGAACGUGCCUUUAGGUUCGGAAUAACUCAGGGAAACUUGUGCUAAUACCGAAUGUGCUCUUCGGCGGAAAGAUUUAUCGCCUAUAGAGCGGCCCGCGUCAGAUUAGCUAGUUGGUGAGGUAAAGGCUCACCAAGGCGACGAUCAGUAGCUGGUCUGAGAGGAUGAUCAGCCACAUUGGGACUGAGACACGGCCCAAACUCCUACGGGAGGCAGCAGUGGGGAAUAUUGCGCAAUGGGCGAAAGCCUGACGCAGCCAUGCCGCGUGAAUGAUGAAGGUCUUAGGAUUGUAAAAUUCUUUCACCGGGGACGAUAAUGACGGUACCCGGAGAAGAAGCCCCGGCUAACUUCGUGCCAGCCGCCGCCGUAACAC